AGGUUAACCGAAUAGGGGAGCCGGAGGGAAACCGAGUCUUAAUUGGGCGUUAAGUUGCAGGGUAUAGACCCGAAACCCGGUGAUCUAGCCAUGGGCAGGUUGAAGGUUGGGUAACACUAACUGGAGGACCGAACCGACUAAUGUUGAAAAAUUAGCGGAUGACCUGUGGCUGGGGGUGAAAGGCCAAUCAAACCGGGAGAUAGCUGGUUCUCCCCGAAAGCUAUUUAGGUAGCGCCUCGUGAAUUCAUCUCCGGGGGUAGAGCACUGUUUCGGCUAGGGGGCCAUCCCGGCUUACCAACCCGAUGCAAACUGCGAAUACCGGAGAAUGUUAUCACGGGAGACACACGGCGGGUGCUAACGUCCGUCGUGAAGAGGGAAACAACCCAGACCGCCAGCUAAGGUCCCAAAGUCAUGGUUAAGUGGGAAACGAUGUGGGAAGGCCCAGACAGCCAGGAUGUUGGCUUAGAAGCAGCCAUCAUUUAAAGAAAGCGUAAUAGCUCACUGGUCGAGUCGGCCUGCGCGGAAGAUGUAACGGGGCUAAACCAUGCACCGAAGCUGCGGCAGCGACGCUGAUGCGUUGUUGGGUAGGGGAGCGUUCUGUAAGCCUGCGAAGGUGGCCUGUGAGGGUUGCUGGAGGUAUCAGAAGUGCGAAUGCUGACAUAAGUAACGAUAAAGCGGGUGAAAAGCCCGCUCGCCGGAAGACCAAGGGUUCCUGUCCAACGUUAAUCGGGGCAGGGUGAGUCGACCCCUAAGGCGAGGCCGAAAGGCGUAGUCGAUGGGAAACGGGUUAAUAUUCCCGUACUUGGUGUUACUGCGAAGGGGGGACGGAGAAGGCUAUGUUGGCCGGGCGACGGUUGUCCCGGUUUAAGCGUGUAGGUGUGUGUUCCAGGUAAAUCCGGUUCACUUUAACACUGAGGCGUGACGACGAGGCACUACGGUGCUGAAGCAACAAAUGCCCUGCUUCCAGGAAAAGCCUCUAAGCAUCAGGUAACAUCAAAUCGUACCCCAAACCGACACAGGUGGUCAGGUAGAGAAUACCAAGGCGCUUGAGAGAACUCGGGUGAAGGAACUAGGCAAAAUGGUGCCGUAACUUCGGGAGAAGGCACGCUGACAUGUAGGUGAAGUGAUUUACUCAUGGAGCUGAAGUCAGUCGAAGAUACCAGCUGGCUGCAACUGUUUAUUAAAAACACAGCACUGUGCAAACACGAAAGUGGACGUAUACGGUGUGACGCCUGCCCGGUGCCGGAAGGUUAAUUGAUGGGGUCAGCGCAAGCGAAGCUCCUGAUCGAAGCCCCGGUAAACGGCGGCCGUAACUAUAACGGUCCUAAGGUAGCGAAAUUCCUUGUCGGGUAAGUUCCGACCUGCACGAAUGGCGUAAUGAUGGCCAGGCUGUCUCCACCCGAGACUCAGUGAAAUUGAACUCGCUGUGAAGAUGCAGUGUACCCGCGGCAAGACGGAAAGACCCCGUGAACCUUUACUAUAGCUUGACACUGAACAUUGAGCCUUGAUGUGUAGGAUAGGUGGGAGGCUUUGAAGUGUGGACGCCAGUCUGC
rnacentral:rRNA from 1 species